rnacentral:lncRNA from 1 species
AUGAAGACCCCAUGCACAACCACAGAAGGCACCAGCUUGUAUGUCCCUGUUUGCUUCAGGCGUCGCCCCCGCAAGUCUGCAGAGAUCACUGCCCUCUGCUUUGCCUUCCAGGUGCAAGAUGUUGUGGGUAUUCUUUUGGCGCCGCUUCCCUUCCCCACCAACUUCUCGCCCUCUACUCCUCCCCACCCCAGCACAGGCAGCCGCUCCAGGGCAAGUCUAUGCAGGCUCCACACACUGAUUCUGACCUGCAUAAAUGGACUCUGCCCGGGGCACCCAUGUCCAAACCAGCCCAGGUGCCCGAAGCACCGGCACCGGUACGAGCCAGGGCGGCUGCAAUGCUCCCAAGUGCCCAGUGCUGGGGGUUGGGGGUGCCACGGCUUGGGAGGCUGCCCAGAGGGCGGAAGGGUCCUCUGCAGAGCUCUGCACGCCUGUCGGCCGACGGGGACUCUGCACGGCGGGCUGCGUCACGGCCGCCUCAUCGGCUGGCAGCGCAGGAAACCCCGUCACCUUCUCGAGGUAGGGACAGUCCUGCCGCCAGCCGUUCCUGCGAUCCCAGGGUCUCUGCAGUUACACCUGGUUCCAGCCGGGGGCGCCGCGCCGCACCGCUCCUGCGGAGGAGCCAGGCGCCCUUCACAGGCGCGGCCUCACCCGCUUUACUUGUCAGGUGUGAGUCGCCCCACGUGCACCCGAACGCGGUCAGGUCCACCCAGGAAGCCGGAGCAGGACUUUGGGCAGCGAGCUCGCUGUGAGUUAGAGAGCAGAGGGACAUCUGUGGCUAAGGAAUUCGCUGCAUGGAUGAAGACCCAAGCAAAGGAGCUAGAACCAAAUGGACGCUGUGCUGCUCAGCCCACCCCAGGCAGGGCAGGGAGGACAGACACUAGAGAGGCUCCCGGGAGCUCCCUGGCUGUAACUGAAAUAUCACGUGGGUGAACAAAGGGAGAAAUGUCGAUGGCAGCUGUGUUGACCCUUUACAACAUGCAGUGGAUUCUGCCAGAUCCCACCAACAAUCAUGCUUUCUACAGUAACCAAGUGCUGCAUCCAAUCAUGGCAAUGAAAAACAGUUCUCCUAACUUGUAAAUACUUUGAUUUGAAAAAAUGGAGUUUCAAAUCAUCCUUUUUAUUUCUAUGAAGAUUUUAAUCCACCUGCAGAAAAAAAAAGAAUGUUGAUGUUAUCUUGUCCAAAUACAAACAUGACUUUGCCCAUCUGUCUGCCUAUUUGGCAGACCGUGCAAAUGUAAAUUUUUGCAAAUUCCAUGCAGUCUAUGAAUGCUUUACCAAAGAAAAGUUAAAAAUAUUAGCCACGAAGUGUCCUGCACAUUUUGUACACAUCAGUAAAAGGGGGUGGAGUUUGCUUCCCUGCGAUAUUGAUGCUUUCAAAAUGAAAGCUUUUAUUUACUUUUCAGUUUCCUCAAAGCAUGAAAAAGCACUUAAUGAGAUUUUUCACAUUCCAGAAAUGGAAGGAGAUGGCCUCCUUUGGACAUGUGCCUACACAAGGGCUGUCACUGUUGCCAGGGUAAAAAGGCAGCCUGCCAUACAACCAUAUUUUCAAAGCAUGGGACAAGAAGAAUGUCCUUGUCUUAAUAUAUUUGGAAAUAUAUUAAGAAUGAAAAUAGAGAAAAAGAUUACGGUUAAACAGUCAGACUGAAAUUUAUAAGUUGUUCCUCCAAAACUGCCUGAUGAUCUUUGAGGAGCCCAUAAGGGCUCUGGAAAAGCAUGAACUGACUGUCCCUGAGUUGUCGAUGUUAUAG